UACGAAGGGGGCUAGCGUUGCUCGGAAUCAUUGGGCGUAAAGGGCGCGUAGGCGGCCUUGUCAGUCAGGCGUGAAACCCCUGGGCUCAACCCAGGAACGGCGCUUGAUACGACAAGGCUCGAGGGUGGAAGAGGGCCGCGGAAUUCCCAGUGUAGAGGUGAAAUUCGUAGAUAUUGGGAAGAACACCGGUGGCGAAGGCGGCGGCCUGGUCCAUUUCUGACGCUGAGGCGCGACAGCGUGGGGAGCAAACAGG
rnacentral:rRNA from 1 species